rnacentral:rRNA from 1 species
UAGGGAAUUUUCGUCAAUGGGCGCAAGCCUGAACGAGCAAUGCCGCGUGAGUGAGGAAGGUCUUCGGAUCGUAAAGCUCUGUUGCGGGGGAAAAGGAAGCAGAAAGGAAAUGGUCUGCUUUUGAUGGUACCCCCGCCAGAAAGUCACGGCUAACUACGUGCC